UACAGAGGGGGCUAGCGUUGUUCGGAAUUACUGGGCGUAAAGGGCGCGUAGGUGGCCUGUUAAGUCGAACGUGAAAUCCCCGGGCUCAACCCGGGAACUGCGUCCGAGACUGGCAGGCUCGAAUCCGGGAGAGGGAUGUGGAAUUUCCGGUGUAGCGGUGAAGUGCGUAGAUAUCGGAAGGAACAUCAGUGGCGAAAGCGACUUCCUGGACCAAUACUGACGCUCAUGUGCGAAAGCGUGGGGAGCAAACAGG
rnacentral:rRNA from 1 species